CCUACGGGAGGCAGCAGUGGGGAAUAUUGGACAAUGGGGGGAACCCUGAUCCAGCCAUGCCGCGUGUGUGAAGAAGGCCCUCGGGUUGUAAAGCACUUUCAGUGAGGAAGAACGCCUGGUGGUUAAUACCCAUCAGGAAAGACAUCACUCACAGAAGAAGCACCGGCUAACUCCGUGCCAGCAGCCGCGGUAAUACGGAGGGUGCGAGCGUUAAUCGGAAUUACUGGGCGUAAAGCGCGCGUAGGUGGCUUGAUAAGCCGGUUGUGAAAGCCCCGGGCUCAACCUGGGAACGGCAUCCGGAACUGUCAAGCUAGAGUGCAGGAGAGGAAGGUAGAAUUCCCGGUGUAGCGGUGAAAUGCGUAGAGAUCGGGAGGAAUACCAGUGGCGAAGGCGGCCUUCUGGACUGACACUGACACUGAGGUGCGAAAGCGUGGGUAGCAAAUAGGAUUAGAUACCCUUGUAGUC
rnacentral:rRNA from 1 species